rnacentral:rRNA from 1 species
GUAGUCUCGCACAGAUGCAUAUCAAUAAGCGGAGGAAAAGAAACUAACAAGGAUUCCCUCAGUAACGGCGAGUGAAGCGGGAAGAGCUCAAAUUUGAAAUCUUGAAAGGUCACCUUUCACGAAUUGUAGUUUAAAGAAGUGUUUUCUGUUACGAUCGUAAUAUAAGUUCUUUGGAAUAGGACAUCACAGAGGGUGAGAAUCCCGUCUAUGACUGCGAUUUGUAGCUUUGUGAUACACUUUCAAAGAGUCGGGUUGUUUGGGAAUGCAGCCCAAAACGGGAGGUAAAUUUCUUCUAAGGCUAAAUAUUGGCGAGAGACCGAUAGCGAACAAGUACCGUGAGGGAAAGACGAAAAGAACUUUGAAAAGAGAGUUAAAUAGUACGUGAAAUUGUCAAAAGGGAAGCGUUUAACACCAGUGUUGUUUUCUGAAAAUCAACCUCUGUUAGCUUUAUGCAUGUUUGUUUAGACCUAAUCAGCUAUCUUGCAUGUUCUAUUUGUUUGCAGUGGUGCACUUUUCAGUUUACAGGUCAACAUCAGUUUUUUUUACCGUAAAAAAGUUAAAGAAAGGUAGCUCAUGGCUCCGGUCGUGAGUGUUAUAGUCUUUUUCCUAUGCGGUAGGAGAGACUGAGGUCUGCAGUGUAGGCUAUUUGGCUAGAUACUCAGGUGCUAUGUGAUACCAUUUCAUAAACAACUUGUUGAUUAUGUUUUGUCUAUUGCAUACUCGCUUGUACUAUCAUACCUACGCUUAGGAUGUUGAGUCGUAGAGCACGCAG